UAUGCUAGUCUGACUGUUUUUCUGCAGCCUACAUGCUGUGCACAUUUUUUGUCUAACAUAAUGUGGAACUAGUCAAAGUGAAGGCUGUUAGUUUUUAGUAAUUUUAAUUUAAAAGAUUUACCAUCGACCCGCCACAUGAAGUGACUUUUCUACACAGUUUUUUUUUUUUUUUAAAUCCUAAAUAUCUACCUUGUUGCUCACUGCCCUCUCCCAUUCAUGACCCAGCUUAGCUGUAGCAUACAGCUCCUUACUGUGUCCACACCCCUCUUGCAGGCUCUAAUCACAGGCUAAUUUUAAGUUAAGAUAUAAAUCUUACAGGCUACUAUAAGGGCCACUCUGUGUUGCCUUAGGUCUGCUGUGUAACUGAGGGAGGCAAUUUAUUCUCUGUCUUCAUCUGGCUGUGGCCUCUACAUUGCUAUGUAGAGGUGACUUUGUUUGAGAUGGAACUGAAGGCCUGUUUGUCCUGUCCUUGACUCCAACCCUGGUAACCUAAAGCUCAAAUUAACCCAAAGAAGCAGGUGAAGGGGAGAUGGAGCUCAGUGGUUUCCUGUUGUGGCAACAAUGCACUUGUAGUGAGGACUAAAAAUGUGUGCACGUGAAUAGUGCUUGGUGUUGUGCAGUCAACAGUGAGAUUUAUUUUACAUUUCUGUUAUAGUAUAUCAAACACCUCUGUGCCAGCACUGGGGUUAGUGACACAGCCAUGAUUCUCGUGUCUGAUUAUUGUCAACCCAAUACUGUUGGGAUGUAGAAUCAUCUGGUAGCAGCUGCAGCAAAAAUGGGUAAUGGGGCAUAGCCGGACACUUCACCUGCAACCUCUUCAUCCAAUCUUGCUGUCAUCUCAUUCUGUGAUCUAACGCCAUGUCAUGCUUUUGCAUUUGACAAAGGCUAAACAACUGAUUAAUGCACACUUUUCCGUUGUACUUGCUGGCCUUCAGCCAAAACAUACAAAAUAUGGAAAGUGGGCAUUGUGGGAAAUAUAUUCCAACCAGAAUACUUCAGUAAAUGAUGUUUGUCCAUUAGAAAAGUUCUUGGUAAGUUUAAAGAUUGGUACUUAACAGAGUUAACUUUCACUGUGAAACUCUACUGUACUCUUCCUGUUGUAGAAAUGUUUUUUUUUUUUUUUUUUUUUUUACAAAAAGCUACUUAAAAAAAUGUAUGGGUGUCCAAAAGACAAAGCUGCAAAAGUUGUAAUGCUAACCGCUAGCUUACUUGCUGAAAAUGUGGACCACAAACCAAAUGUAAAUUCCCGGACUAAAAGACUUUUUUUUUUUUUCAUUUUCCCUUUGUAAAACAUUCUUGGUUGCACUGAAGGCAGGUCAAGCCAAAGAUGAACAUUAUUUUUUGGCCCUUCUCGACUGCUUUGAUCUCAAGUUGCAUUUAUUAUAUAUAUUAUAUGUAUAUAUAUUUAUGCAACACAUAUUCCCACUCUGUACAUUGAAUUAGGUAUAGAUUAGAGGUUUAGAUUUUUGACAAACAAACAACUUUUAAGCUAAAAGCCUCAUGCCUAUGUCGAAAUAAUCAGAAAUACCUACCGGUUUUGAUACUUGCGAACAACACUGCAUAUGUUUUAGCUCAAGAUGGUAAGAUGAGAGUGUUAUAAAGAACCAGUGGUCCUGAAAUAUUUCAACAUUAGUCGUUGCGUGCAGUUUUGGUGGAGUUUUAUUCUCCACCCGGCUAGAGACUCUGUGAAUGCAUGGGUGUCACGUCAUGUUAGUAUUUUAGUGUAUGGACAGACCCACACUGAGAGUUCAAGGGAGGGGAUGUAGAGGUGACCGUGAGGGGUGAUGCAAGUGACUCCAGUGAACAAAUGCCCUUCUGCCCCGUCCCAAUGCCUGACCACACAACACUCUAGGCCCUUCUUCUCAGGCAGGUCGUGACAAGGAGAGUCCCAGGACCCUCUCAACCCAUUUUUCCCCAUGGGAAAUAUCAAAUGUUAAGUGUAGCACAUGUUUGCCAUAUAUCCCUUAGAUUUAGUAGGAAAGUUAAAAACUUUGAAUGAAUGAUGGAAUGAUGUUAUGGGAGCCUAGAUGAAAAAAAUAUAUAUUUUAUUCUUCUGUGGUGCAUCAUCCGUUUAGAAUGCAUACAGUUGCACAUACACCAUCUUCACACAUGACCUACCAUAUGCACCAUGCACACGCACCCACCCACCAGCCUACUCAAAAUUCAGGGAUGUGAAUGGGCCACAUUUAUGCACAACCUCCCUCAAAACAAACACACACGCACACUGACACACAGGGGAAAGCAAUUUUUAAGUUGUCAUUCGUUGUUAGAAAAGAAAAACAAUGCCAUAAAUGUAUGUAUUUUAACCCUAUAUUGUCAUUAUUAUGACACUAUUUAGCUGCACUAUUGUUGAUUAUGGCAGGAAACUGCUGGGUCUGUCCUGCAGACUAUGUUACUAACUGUCCCUUUAAAACCCCUGGAUUUUUAACAAUAUUAACCUGGAACAUCACAAAUUUUCAGCUCUAUGACGACAAACCAACAAAAAAAGGUAUUGGCAUCUUUUUCCAUGUUCCAAUAUAUAUUUUACCAAGCAGGGUUUAAGUGCUAUGUGCAAACAAAAGAUGAAUGAAAGAAAUUAUUUUUCAUUAUUAACUUCUCCCUAAUAUGCAAUGGAGUGUAGUGUAACAAUGGUUGUAUUCCUCUGUCACUUUAAUGCUGUAUGUGCACAUUGGUUGCUGUGUGGAUGUGGGUGCCGAGGCAACGGGACUUGACAAUGAUGGGAACUAAUGGUUGUCACUCUGUGUUCCCAGACUGCCUUAUUCGUCCUGGCCAAUCACAGUAGCCCUCCUUCCAGCCAGGGCUGCGGCCGCCGACAGCGGCUGUGGUCAGACGAGUAUUGCUGCUCCAUUAUCUCCUUCUGCUUUCCCUUGCAUUUUUUUUCCUUUCAUCUUUCCCUUUUUCUUUUCUUUAGCCGCGAGGUAGAAUUUGGAGCGUGUAAAUGGCAAGUUAAUGUUCACAUCUGUAUGUUCUGUAUAUCUGCUUCACCAUUCAGACAAAAACAGUUGUUUUGCAGUAAACCCUUUUCGUUUUGAAGAGCCGUAUGGUGCGACACUUGUAGCUGUCACUCUUGGUGCUUGGCUUAUGCUUCAUUGUCUUAAUAUUCCAAAUAAAACUGUUAAGUGUAAUCCACACUGGCCCAUGAUAAAAUAUUGCGUGUGUCUAUUUUUCAUCCUAUGUCUUCCAGACACAAUCUUCUUGUGGCAAUCUUUUGCUAUUGUUCCAGAAACUCUUUCUACAAUGGUGUUGAUUACAUCACGACUGGAGCCUUUCAGUAAAUUUUACUAAGUUUUCCCUCAGGAUUGUGUUUUGUAAACAAAGGAUGUUAGAUUGAAAUGUAGAUAAAUCACCAAAGCAUCCAUAAACUUGCAUAGGUUUCAUAUUUGCACGUUUGUGACCUGUGACCUUUAAAGCCUGACAUGGUAGACUAGGGAAGGUGUAGUUCAUAAGUUAUAUUUGGAAUUUUACAGGCUCAGUCUCACAAGUCUAGGUGGCAAAUAUCUGUCGGCACUACUGGAAAAAAAAUGUGGUAAAUUGUGAACAUUAAAACAACUUAUAACAUAUUAACUAAACUUAUAAUAAUUCAAAGAAACUACACAUUAUUAGAUAAACUAUAUUAUUGAUAUUUAUCUGAAUACCUAAUAAUACUGUUACUUUUAAAUUAAAAUACAUAACAUAGUCCAUUAAUUAGUGCAAGAUGACAUCCUCAGUUUACGACUGGUGAACUGUCUGCUGGGUAACAUUACUGACUGCUGGGGUAGAGCUGCUCAAUGUUCUGUCUUAAAUAUCCCAGGUAUCAUCAAAUAUUCUUUAUUGAUGUCAAGAGGGACUUGAUGUUAUUCUGCAUACAUUUGCUCAAUAUUUUACACAGAGAGAAUCAAUUGUAUUGAUAAAGAAUACAAUUGAAGUGGAAUAGAUAUUGAAGUUGCACUUCUGCUGGGUUAAUUCUGAAUGCUGACAUUCUUAAGUGGGACUAUCAGCUACCUUCAUUUUUGUGUGUGUGUGUGUGUGUGAUUCUGGUUUCUCUUUUUGCAGGCUACGUUCAUCUGCACCAUAGAACUGGGGCGACCCCGCACGGCCUGGGGUCAUUGGCAUUUUGACAACAAGUGGUUCUACUCCUCUGGUCUUCACCUGCCACCAGUGGUUGCUGCCUCACACUACAGGACGAGAUGUUGGCUAAAUGGCAGAACCGUGUCAGCAAGGUGGUGAGCAGCCAUUACUGCAUCAGUAUCCUGAGAUUUGAACCAGAUUUGAAAUUCAAACUUUCCAUAUCGAGCCACUAGCUGUGAACUGGACUGCACUCUGCACUGUAUUAGCAGCAGGUAGAGUAUGUAGGUCUGGGGGUCGUGCAUAUUAGUGCUGAACCUGGUUGAGUUAGUGCAUGAGCGUGUGAGCUAUAAUAUGGCCUACACGUGUGUUAAGUUGGGAGGCAUGCAUGUCUACAUGGGUGUAAGAAUGUGUGUGUGGCGUUACCAGUAUAUGAGGCUGCUGAAAAACAGGCGUCCACUCAGCUAGGUGACUGCAGUGUGCCAGGGGGUCAGGGCAGGCUUAGCACCAAUGACCAUUAUAUAACCUAGUGUCACAGAGGCAUGCAGGGAAGGCAGCAGGCAGGACAUUCAGACCAGUGGCCAUCACCAUGGUCACCACUGCCCUGAAGUUGGUCCAGCCUGGACAAAAAGAAAAGACAGAAGUGUUUGACAAUUAAUGGAAAUAGAUUUUGGGAAGAUUAAUCAGAAUAGAUUACAUCACGUUUUUCAUUCCUGUGCACCCCCUAGUGGCCUAGUAUUUACAGUUAGAUGAUAUUCUCUAUGAUCAUAGAUUACAAAAUAUAUAUAUUUUAAUAUAUAUGAAUCACAAAGAAUUUUAGGAAAGAUGUUAGGAGCUCAAAUUCAUAAAUUCAUUGUGAUGGUCCUCAGCUGACCAUUUAUGUUAAAAAAAAACAUGUUUGUGCUCCGUACAUUUGCAUCUCAAAUCAAGGCUCAACUUCAUCAAAACAAACCCAUGUUUUUCUUUCUUGGAAUGAAAUACACUUGAUUCCAUUCCAAAAAACCAACAGCUCAGGGACACAGGGUGUUUGAGUCCGGUGAGAUCUGAGUCAGUUGUGGAAGUCUGAAGCAGAACUGGCACAAAAGUCAAGCUGUGGAAUUAUUCUGCUCUGUUAUAACAAUAACAACUUCAUUAUUAUCCUGUUUUUCAUUUUUGAUACAAAACUGCCACUGUACUGGGUUGCCGUCCCUUUUAAGUACGCUAACUUUGUUCAACUUUCAAAGUUGACCAAUGUCGGUAUCAUGUGUUGUAAAUGAAUCAAAAUGAGGACGGACGUGUAGAAAGAACAUAAUUAUGCCUUCGAUGCCAGUUCUCGUUCUUUCCUUGGGGCAGUGGAUGAGGUAGGGUGGCAGGGUUUGGCAGGGACUGAGUUGCCUGAGAUAAAAGACUGUCGGUAGGAGAAAGAAGACACCACCAGGGGAGUCUGGAGUAAAAGGAGGCAUCCAGACAACAGCUCUGCAAAUCCACAGUCCUGCACUGCCAAACAGCUGAAUCUUAAAGCCUAUUCACAGGGCAAGCUGCCACAUACCACUGUUAUCGCAAUCAUUUAACAAUACACGCCACAUUUUUUAUAAAUCUAGAACAGAAACGGCAAAAUACAGUGUUUUAGAUCUCAGUCCUGAGUGUGUAAUCUCAGCUUCAGUGUUGCAUAAGACAAAUCGUGACUUUCAGUUUUUAAUUUGCGUGCGCAUUAA